UUCUCAGGGCUGCAAAUUACUUCAAAUAAACAAGCUAGUACGUAAAAAGUAAUGGCUGGAAUGCUUGGUUUCCACUAAAUGAUUAUGCUAUGGGAACAUUGCGCCUUCUGGAAUACCGGGGUAAGGUGAUGGAUGGACAGCCGGUGCACAGAAUGUUCUGUUCUGAGCUGCAAGUUGGUGGCUUUCAUUCUCGUGCUUGGCCUUGCACAGGUUCGCAAUCAGCGAGGAGAACUUGAGCUCUCAGGGUUCUCUGGGAGCCUGUCUCCUUUGCCCGGGGCCAGGUUCUGGCGCAGAGAGUGGAUUCCAGAGCCGGCCCUGCCUGCGCUGCUUGUGAGCCUGGCUGACAAGCUCACCUCAGCCAGAUGGAAGCUGCCGUUAGCAUAUCUUCAGGGAGCAGAGGCUCCCCAGGGAAACGUGUAUUUCUCAACACGGCCACCGUGGGAGGUUUUGUGGAAGGAGGGUCUACUGCGGUUGCUGGGGACGACAGCAAAUGAACUCAGGAGACAGAGAAGCCACCAGGAGAGACACGUACUCUGGAGGGUGAGGAAGCUGGGCCACGGGCAGCCCAGCUGAACAUGAAAGGGAUUAAAGUACUUGUGGUACAUGGUGAGGUGGCAUUUCUGUUUGAAAUGAAAGGAGAGAGGGUUUCCCGGUAGCCUUGGUAUGUCGCAUCAUCUUUCUGGCAGAGAGUGAAGGCCACCAGACACGGGGAUGGAAUGGCUCUGCAGUUCCCAGCGGCCUUGCGGAGCUACUGUGUCAUAAGCCAGAGAGCAACUGAAAUUACACAUACGUCCAUAUUUGCUGUUGUUGAAAGAUCAUCGAAGCAAGAUUCCCGGGGCACAGCUUUGUGGCCCUUCUCAAGCUGGUCCAGGAAUUGUUUACGAGGCCGGGUUUAACACGAUGCCAGGAAUUGUGUAUCACUACUGGACUUCUUGGAUAUCUGCUGGAAUCAAGGAGCCAGACGAGAGGGAGGGAAAUCAUCUGAGUGAGAAGGAGGGGGGAACCGGAGCCAAUUCUCUCGGUGACUCGGGAUGACCUGCCCUUGUGCUCACACUGCCCUGUAGCCUUCUGCUGGCAGGACCUCGUGUACUGCUGAUAUUUUUAUCUCUGUGUUAAGUGGUACUUUACCUUUAUUGUUCUGGUUCCCCAUCAACACAGCUUGCCAUCUUCCCUUCCUGCCUUCUUUCUUGGCACUGAAGACACACACCUGCCUGCCUUUCCAAUCUUUCUGGCAGGCCUGGGGUAACAAGAGGAGGGCAGGAGGUUGCCAGCAGGAUCCCCCUCCAGCAGUGGGCUGUGCUGAGAAAGUGCAGGAAAAGCAGGUGGGCCCUGUAGGCUCCUGGCCGCUGGCAGGCUAUGUCCCUUCAGAGUGGCUCGUCAGGGCCCUGCCUGGUCAGUUUGCUCAGUCCUGGGUCAUGUGCAAGUGUUCCACGCACAGGCCGCCCAGGAGGAAAAGACCAGAAACAACCACCCCCCACCUCAUGUGAGAGGCCCUCGGCACCCCACGGCCAGCUGUUUUGCAGCCAGGCGGUACUGAGCGUCCUUUGUUUCUCGCAGCGAUGACUUCCCUCUUUGGGUCAAUUAUGCAGCCUAAGAGCUGUUAUUACUUCUGAACAAAGUGUGCCGUGCAGCCUGUGGCAGCUUUAAGGGCAGCCUUGACAGCCAGCACCCUGCCACCCUCCAAAGACAGGGGGAGAGGGUGCCCCCAGCAGGUGGCGGUUGCUUGGCUGGCUGCUUGGUCUUGUGGCCACCACCCUGCCAGGGCCAUGAGUUACCAGAGGGCAUUUGCUUGUUCGGGAGACCCAUGGGAGGAGCUGACGUGCCUGGGGAGAUGCUCAGAGGGUCCUCCUUUUGACCUGCCUUGGAGGCCAGCUCAGCAGCGUGAAGAAAAGCUGUGGGGCUCAGUUUGUCCCUGGGUGCCUCGCUCAAGAGAACUGAAGUUCAAGGCACAACAGGAUCAGCAGGCCGGUGGCCACCUCCACCAGACAUCCAGGUGUGCAGAGAUGGGCCCGUUCAAAUCGGACAGCGAUAGCUUACUUCCUAAUCAACGCCUUGGUCAUGGCUCUGAGAAGGCCAAGUGACCACGACAGCAGCCGAGCCUGCAGCCUCCUCCGAGACCCAGCUGCCCUGAGCAAGGCGAUGAUAGGACAUGCUGGUGACUGGAUUUCCAGGUGGGGCUGCCCUUGAUCAGGAGGAGGGGCAUUUGCAGCUGCAAGUGGACCCUGACUCCAGACCCAGGAGGGAGUUUCCGCAGGGCAGUAAAAGGAGAAGCGGUGAUUGGCUGCUGGGUAUCCGGACCCUCCCCCAGGAGCACCACGCCCACCCUUGCACGCUCAAGGUCUCACCCACACUGCUCCUGACAAGGAGUCAGAGCCGAGGGGAGCUGCCUGUCCCCCAGCCCAGAGGCAGCACAGGGGUUGCCUCCCCCAGUCGGUCAACAGGCCCAGUUAUUGGAACAAGCUCUGAAAGGAAACAAGAGCUGCCCAGAGGGGCCGGGGCCUCCAGGACUGGCAUCUAGAGGUGGGCACCCAGCUUGCUGCCUCAGGCCUCUGAUCAUGGCGGGAGUCUGAACUGAAGCUCUCUGACAGUCUGACUUCGAUGUUCCUACACCUUUCUGGAAAUUGUGCCCCCAGUGAACUGUGCUGGAGGUCUUGCUGUGAGGCUCUGAGGCCAUCAGGGGUCACAGACGUUGCCCGGCUGCUCCUCUGGUUUCGCUUGCUCUGGGGGAAGCCAGCUGACCUGCUGUGAGGACAUUCAAGUAGCUCGAGGAUCAUCCAACUUGCCCGCCGGGAGUGACUGCAGCCUCCGCUGUCCCCUGACUGACCCUCCUGAGACCCUGAGCUGGAAAAACCCAGAAACCACUGGAAAUAAGAAGAAAGGGACUGCUGACCUACCUGUUUGCCUGGACAUCUAGAAAAUAAUUUUAAAUAUUUAUAUGUGAUCUGCAAGAGAUUACACAUUUGCCACGGAGAACUUCAAUUAUUAGGUACAUGCACCUAUGGGCCUCACAAGCCUGUCCAGAAUCAGAUCGCCCAAGAGCACCCACCAUAGUCAACUGAAGUACAUCAGAGCUGACAUUCAUAAAGAGCCAUCAGUCACCCUGUUUCGACUGGAAAAGGAACGUGCAAGAUGCCAAGUGGUAAACUAUGACGGAAAUCUGUUUUUUGGAGCUGGUGUAUUUGGCGUUAAAAGAGAACAAUUAGAUUUCCAACAUCUUAAAUGAUUUUUACAGUGCAUGUUCAUGUCAAAG